rnacentral:lncRNA from 1 species
GUUAAGAGUGUGAUCUGCCUGGUUUUAUUCCCCAGCUCACUAUUCACACUGGUUGCGUGACCUUGAACAAUUCACUUAGCCUUUCUGAACCUUACUUCCUGUUAUUGUCUUCCUAAACAUUUAUUUCCCAAUCUGUGAGUUUACUAUCUCUGCUGAACUGUGUUUGAGAAUGCCCAAUAUUAUUGUAAUCUUUCCCUAAUUAAAACACUAAUUUCUCUUCGUAAAGUUCCUAAAAGUCUGCUAGCAAUUGUUAAUUGCCUCAUCCUCUGUUUCUUCCCUGCUACCAGGGAUCCCCAAGAGCAGGGGCGCCCAAUCCCCAGGCCACGGACCACUAUUGGUUUGUGGCCAGUUAGGAAAUGGGCUGCACAGCAGGAGAUGAACAGUGGGCAAGCGAGCAUUACUGCCUGAGCUCUGCCUCCUGUCAGAUCGGCAGCGGCAUUAGAUUCCUAAUCAGCAGCGAACCCUAUCGUGAAGAGGGAUCUAGGCUGUGUGCUCCUUAUGAGAAUCUAACUAAUGCCUGAUGAUCUGAGGUGGAACAGUUUCAUUCUGAAACAGCCAAGGUAAGGGUGGCUGCUUUGUCAUAGUUGUCUACUCCCCCCAACCCUAGUCCUCUGUGUCUCCCAAAAUUACCUGUCCUGCUUCCCCAAUUUCUAGGAAAUCUUGGAAAGUUAGGUGUGCCAGCUUUCGGGAUGUCCUCAGACAGCUCUAAAUCAAAGGACCAGCCCUUUUUUUUUUUUUUUUUUUUUUUUUCCUGAAAGUCGAUCUUCUCCGUUUCUCUGGCAUUGGCUUUAUUUCAAGAAUUUCUAGUCUGGCCCAGUCAUUGUCUUUAAAAGGAGCAAGUGACCAAAAGAACAAAUUGCUCAAUGACUAAAUUUUCCUGCUAAAAUCUUAACGUAUAUCACUACCAAGAACCAAAACUGAGUUGCUGAUAGAAUUGUUAAAUAAGGGUAGCCACCAUCUUCUCACCUGGCCAUUUCAAAUCACAAGGCCAGCGUUAGUGAACAAUUCUGUCUUGCCAAUUUGAAAUUCAAGUCUUUUCUUUCAAACAUUCCUCUUUGAACUUGUUUUGUUACUUAGCUGUUUUAAGGGCAUCAGGAAUAGAAAGACCGGGGUUUAAUUCUCACAUAAGACAAGCUUCUUAAAUCCCAAUUUUCCUCAAUUUCAUUGAAGUUGAGGUAUCUACCCAAUUAGCUACUUUAUCAAGUUGUUUUUAGGCUUAAAUGGUUUUAAAAAAAAAACCCUAUACACUUAUUGUGUAAAUACAUAAUGCUAUUCUUUUGUUAGCUUAUGUUUUAUUAAAUUCAAUCAACAUUCAUUGUGCAAGAUGUAAGGAAUUGAAAGUCACACAGAAGAUUUUAUAACACAUACAUAAACAACAAACUACUGCAUAAAGCAGCAGCAAUUGUUUCAUUAGAGGCAAGGAACUCUGGAGCUGGACAAUAACAAUUAUCCUUAGAGUGGGUGGGGGAAGAAUAUUCAAAAUUCAGUGACUAGCAAUGAAUGGUACAGAAAGUUGGUGAAUCCAUUCACAGCAGGCAUGAUGACCUAACAUGGUUUCAAAAAGAACUUGAUUUAAAUUCAGGGCUACAGAAAUGCAAGCUUUAAGACUGUCAAAGACAUCAGGUACCAGGAGACAGGCUUGUAAUAUAACCUUCAACUCCAGUUUUUAGAACCCUUGGUUGUUGCUUUGUUCAGUUCAACAAACUUUUGUUGAACCCAACGUAACUGCCAGACCUUGUGCAGGAUGCCAAGGACACAAUGACAUUGAAGAGAACAAGCAUUUCUGUUCUUAAUUAUGGAGAGAAUGGCAUGCGGAAUGAGUAAUGCACAGGUGCACAGAACCAUGUGGGGGACGGGGAGACCCAGCUUUUGGCCUGAGGUUUCUGUGUAUCUCAGCAUGGAGUCAGGCAUAUAGCCCAGACAACUCAAGCAGCAUGAGCAUUUGGUGAAAGUCUGAUCUAGCAACAGAAAUAAUUGAAGAGUUAGGUAGAAGACCUCUGAGAAAAGGUCCAAGAAAUUAUCUUUGGAAAAACAAAAAACAGUGGGUUCCAUACAUCCAGAGUGACGGUGAAGCUGAAUCUCCCAGGGUCUCAGGACUCUGCUCUUCAAGUUAAACUUUAUCACCUUGCCCCAGUUUGAAACAUAAUUUACUUAGGCUACAAAUAAACAACAUUCAGGAUUACCUUAUCAUUUAAACUUAUUUAUUUAUUUUGAGACAGGGUCUCGCUCUGCCAUCCAGGCUGCAGUGCAAUGGCAUGAUCACAGCUCAACGCAGCCUCAACCUCCUGGGGUCAAGCGAUCCUCUCACCACAGCCUGAGUAGCUGAGUAGCUGGGACUACAGGCACCUGCUCAACCUCUGGGAGAAGGCUAUAUGAGAAGGGCUCAAAAUAAAUAUAUGUAUUAUUAUUCAUGUUUUGAAAAAGCCAUUCCAUCAUCUGUGUGGCUCAUCCUAACAUUACAAGACUUUGAGGGCUGUCCUUAACCUCUAGACCCUCCCUCUUCUAUUCAGGAUACAAUCAGAAGGGAACCUUUCACCAAGCUCUCCCAGGGGUCAGAUCACAGAAUGUGACCUGAAAUGUCAGCCAAUUCCCACGAUUUGGAGAGAUAGGACAAAAGGACAAAAAUAAGCAAUUAACAAACAAUCACAAGCAGACAUUUAAGACAAUCAUUAAUUUUCAAAGUAACUGCAUUCUUCAUACUGAAACUAAUACACAGUGCCUGACACAAGAAUUUGAGGCCAGGCACGGUGGCUCACGCAUGUAAUCUCAGCACUAUGGGAGGAUCACUUGAGCCCAGAAGUUCAAGACCAUCCCAGGGAACACAGUGAGACCCCAUCUCUACAAAAAAUUUAAAAAUUAGCCAGGCAUGGUGGCAUGCACCUGUAGUCCCAGCUAUUCAGGAGGCUAAAGCAGGAGGAUUGUUUGAGCCCAGGAGGUUGAGGCUGCAGUGAGCCAUCAUCACACCACUGCACUCCAGCCUGGGUGACAGAGUGAGACCUCAUCUCUUAAAAACAACAACAAUGAAUUUGAAACCUAGAUCCCCCACUCAAAGAAUCUGCAUUCAAGUAAAUCAAAUUUGUUUGAAGCACUGGUUUUCUGGAACUCUCAUUUAUUAUUAGAUUUAAGAAGGCACUACUUUCAUACUCCAAAAAUAGAACAGACUACCUCGUUGCCAUGGUGAUCACCUGUUGAGGUAGGAACACCUUGUCAUAGAAAAUUUGGAAUGAAAAGCAGGUAAUUAGCUAUGAAGGGUGUUGCAGAGGGGGCUGGAGGUGGGAUAAGGUGGCCUCCAGCUAAUUUGUUCUAAGUGGGAAAUCAUUUUUAGCACAUCUUGAAAAAUACGAUUAACAUGACAAUAUUUUGACUGAACAUUUUUACAAAUUUGGGAAUGGAACACAGGAUUUUAUUGCUCUAACCAAUAUUUUAGCCAAGUGGGGCUUGCACACCUAUGCUGAGCUUUCACCUGAUGGGGUAAAUUUAUAUUCUGUGUAGACAUAUAAUAGAAAAGGAACAAAAAUAGGCUUAUAAAACAUUCUAUAGAUAAAACUGUUUGUUACAGGUAAGUUUUCAUUUCCAUCCACAUAGUGCAAACAAAAAAUAUUAGGGCAGAUUUUUCACAUCUGUACUACUGUGAUCCCCUCCCCAGGAAAAACAAUGUCUUCUGGGGAGACCCUUCACACUUCUCCAACGCGGUACAAGGUUCUCACUUACUAUGGUAAUCAUGUGUUUACAUAUCGGCUUUAGAUUUAGGGUUUUCUGUGUGGUUGUCUGUGUAAAUUCUGCUUCUAGAUUUUACUUAAACCCCUUUAAGGGCAGAAUCUACAUCAAAUUCAUUUUCGUAUCUCUAAGAAUAUUCAAAACAUAAAAAGAACUCAAGAAAUUAAAUAUUUGCUAAAUGAAGAACUAUUUGAGGUUCUUCAGCUACACAUACUCUAAAUGGCCCCUUUCUAAGAAUUUGCCUUUCAGCAAUGGGGAGGAGAAUAGUAGGUCCCAGUUGAGAACAAAAAAGAAAACAAGAGGUGAAAAGAAUAUGUAAGCAUUUUGCUGUAAUACCUCCCCCACCACCCGCCCAUCCGCCUACCUACCACGUAUAGGACUAUAAAAUCCUGAGGAAAAAAAGCACUUAAAAGAACAGGCUGGAAAUGUUUCAGGAAACCCCUUUCUCUACUUACUCUCCACUUGUUCAUUCAACAAAGGCCCAAAGGUGACAGGAAGAGAAGCAAGGAGCAGCAGACAUUAGCUCUCUGUAGCUUUUCCCUGGCCAUCAACUAGCUUCUCUAUUACCACUCUGAGAUGACUGAGAGAGACAACGGCAAGGAGACAAGAACCCUGGACUGUCAGACAAAUCCAGGGAAUGCAGCAGAGAAAGCAAAAGCAGCGAGAAAGCAAAAGCAGCAGGGGCCUGGUCAGGGAGCAAAGAUGGAAAUGAGGAGAGCAACUGGGAACCCCUGUGAGAAAGCAUGGCCAGAGAGGAAACUAGGACAUGGGACCGGAUGGACAGCAAAUUGUAUUGGGGGGGGGGGGGUGGCGGGGGGAAGGUCUCCAAAGUCCACAGAGAAUCAGCAAUUUGGCUAAAGCAUGUAUGAAUAAUUGGGAAUUAACUGUAUACACAAAAGAUUUCACCUCAUUUACCACAGCAGCUAGAUAAACAUCAUACUAAAUUAAAUAAGAGGCUAUUCACCCACAACCAAACCGAGACCAUUUGUCUUCAUUCUCUACUAAGAUUUUUAAAGAAAUUUCACCAUGCCUUUGCUGUCGCCCUCCCAAUCUGUAUAAGGCCCCUGUUUGUUUGUCUUGAUGAGGUCGAUUCCACUUCUCAAGACUAGGAACAAUGACAACAAAAAAGGAUCUUUGAAUUAUCCCUCAGAUUUGUAAUUUUGGACACUCUUUACUUUGUCACACUAAAAAUAACCCAGAAAUUGAAAUCUAGGUAAUUGUAGCUAUUCCUACUUUUAAUCUUAGAUAUUCUUUACUUCGCUGUUCCUUACUUGAUCCCUUUUUUCUUCUUUUUAAAUCUAGAAAUUAAGAUCUAGGUAAGUUUUAGUCAUGGGUUAGGUACAGGUACACUUGACGAAAAAUUUCCCACAAGCAACAAACAAGAAAUAGACAAUGCCUAUUUUGAGAGAUGCUUUAGAAAACACAUAUCAAAUUCUAAACCCCUUACGCCAUCAUCUGCUUACUGACAGCAGUAAGAGCUGCUAAAUGAUUUCGGUGUUUGGGUGUCUGAAUGCUGAUAGCAGAGCAUAUGUUUGCAGGUACACAAUAUUUUCUUUUUAUGAGAGGCGAAGGA